UCUGUGUCCCCACAGAUGGAAAAUAAUUAGUUUCUGUCACUGGAUGUAAAUCAUCAGGUUAAUUGACAGAUGCAGCCACAGUUUGUGUUUUGUUGUUUUCAGCUGCAGACUGAGGUGGAGCUGCUGUGAACAGACAUGAACCGUCAUAAAGACGUCGUUCUCUUUCUGCUUUGUGCACAAGGAUCAGGCGGCCCAGGUUGGACUUGAUCUGGAUUUGAGCACAGAGACACAAACACAGGAGCGUCAGACGGUGUGUUCCAGGUGUGUUCCAGGUGGAUGGAGGAGUGAUGAACCUUCCUGCUGUCUGUGCUGCGUCAGAGCUGAGUGACCUGUUCAGUUAAUAUACAAACAACAAACAUUCCUCUUUGUGAAGC